rnacentral:rRNA from 1 species
UAGGGAAUCUUCCGCAAUGGGCGAAAGUCUGACGGAGCAACGCCGCGUGAGUGAUGAAGGUCUUCGGAUCGUAAAACUCUGUUAUUAGGGAAGAACAAAUGUGUAAGUAACUAUGCACGUCUUGACGGUACCUAAUCAGAAAGCCACGGCUAACUACGUGCCAGCAGCCGCGGUAAUACGUAGGUGGCAAGCGUUAUCCGGAAUUAUUGGGCGUAAAGCGCGCGUAGGCGGUUUUUUAAGUCUGAUGUGAAAGCCCACGGCUCAACCGUGGAGGGUCAUUGGAAACUGGAAAACUUGAGUGCAGAAGAGGAAAGUGGAAUUCCAUGUGUAGCGGUGAAAUGCGCAGAGAUAUGGAGGAACACCAGUGGCGAAGGCGACUUUCUGGUCUGUAACUGACGCUGAUGUGCGAAAGCGUGGGGAUCAAACAGG